rnacentral:rRNA from 1 species
AUUGAACGCUGGCGGCAGGCCUAACACAUGCAAGUCGAGCGGAUGAAGGUGGCUUUCUCCUGGAUUCAGCGGCGGACGGGUGAGUAAGUCCUAGGAAUCUGCCUGGUAGUGGGGGAUAACGUCCGGAAACGGGCGCUAAUACCGCAUACGUCCUGAGGGAGAAAGUGGGGGAUCUUCGGACCUCACGCUAUCAGAUGAGCCUAGUUCGGAUUAGCUAGUUGGUGGGGUAAAGGCCUACCAAGGCGACGAUCCGGAACUGGUCUGAUAGGAGGAUCAGUCACACUGGAACUGGGACACGGUCCAGACUCCUACGGGAGGCACCGGUGGGGAAUAUUGGACAAUGGGCGAAGUCCUGAUCAAGCCAUGCCGCGUGUGUGAAGAAGUUCUUCGGAUUGUAAAGCACUUUAAGUUGGGAGGAAGGGCAGUAAGUUAAUACCUUGCUGUUUUGACGUUACCAACAGAAUAAGCACCGGCUAACUUCGUG